CAGAAAGACCCUAUGAAGCUUUACUGUAGCUUGAGAUUGUUGCCGGAUAUAUCGUGUGCAGAUUAGGUGGGAGGCGUUGAUCAUAAGCUUCCGGGUUUAUAGGAGCCAUCAGUGAGAUACCACUCUCGUUAUAUCCAGCAUCUCAUCAUGACCCAUUAGCUGGGCAUAAGACAGUCUUAGGUGGGCAGUUUGACUGGGGCGGUCGCCUCCUAAAAAGUAACGGAGGCGCACAAAGGUAUUCUCAGGCUGUUUGGAAAUCAGCUGUGGCGUGCAAAGGCAUAAGAAUGCUUGACUGCAAGACCUACAAGUCGAGCAGGGACGAAAGUCGGUCUUAGUGAUCCGAUAGUACCGUGUGGAAGGGCUAUCGCUCAACGGAUAAAAGUUACUCUAGGGAUAACAGGCUGA
rnacentral:rRNA from 1 species